CCAGACUCAGCUUGACUCUUGGCUUCCGGGUUUGAGUGCAGCUCCUGAAGAGGCAAGAGUUUGGCCUGGACGUCCUGGCAGGUGGCCCUGCCCUGCCUUGGCAGAGAACUUUGGUCGAGGUUCCCCGUGGGCCUCCUGCUCUUCCUCUGUGGACCCUGGACCCUGUUCCUCUGCCUUUCCUCCUCCCACUUCAGAAGACCCCGUCCACCAGACCGCCUCCCCCUGAGGCCCAACAUGCAGCAGAGGCAGCUCCUCCGUCCCUGCAGCCUCCUUUUAACUGUGGGAUAUGGCAGCCACCCGUGGAGCGGUCCGGGUGACAAAGCCAGCGAGAGCUAGGGAGCGCCCAGGUGAAAUCCCACAGGCAGGGACAACUCUGUCUCCUUGCUGCCUCCCCAACACCUCCAGGCCUUAACCAUCUUGACUUGGGGAGCAGUCCUGCUGUCCACGCUCCCUCCAACAAGCCAGAGAAAACUCCCGGGCACAGGUGUGCGUGUGGCACGGUGAGUUUUUCUGUAAUCCACUCACCUUUAUGGAUUUACCGCACCAGGGGAAAUAUUACAACAGGCAUUUGUUACUUUACAAAUUCCUAGGCUUCCUCUCCCUUCCUUGCAAGGGCAUUUUUAGAAAGCAUUUCGCCAACAUUCACUAUUUACCACCAUAAAUGUGACUCUGGCCAGCUCUGUCCCUGGGUAAGGCCAGAAUUGACCAUUUUCUUAAAAGUUCCAGCGCCCUGAGGCUUCUGGCAGGCAUCUCUGCAGCUGAGGAAGGCUUCUGUCCCGUGCACCCUUCCCCAGGCGGGGGACCCCCAGUUCUGCUGCUCUGGGGCCUCAAAGAACCAAGUCCUCCAAGCUGCUCCACUGCCUCCUCACCAGCCACGGUGCUCCCUGAGCCACAAACCUCCGGCCUCACCCCUGCCCCUCAGGCCCACGUCUUGCAAUGGACUCUGCCAGUCCACACAUGCCUGGGUGGGGAGGGGUGUGCACUUCUGCAGCUGGGGUGAAGACAGGGACAGGGUAAUGUGAGACUCAGAUAUGAGACGCCAGGUGCAAAACUGCAGGUGGAGAGCUCCCUGUAGAGUGCAGGGGUUCAGGGUAGAGGCUCUGGGGUCUGGAAAGAGCUGGGCGUAGCUGUCACCAACCUUUCUCUGCCUCAGUUUUUUUUUUGUUUGUUUCUUUUUUUUU
rnacentral:lncRNA from 1 species